rnacentral:tRNA from 1 species
UAAAGAGUGGUUUAGUAGGAAAAACGAAGAACUUUGACUUCUUUGUCAUGGGUUCGAUUCCCAUCUCUUUAA